AUUGAACGCUGGCGGCAUGCUUUACACAUGCGAGUCGAACGGUAACAGGCCUUCGGGUGCUGACGAGUGGCGAACGGGUGAGUAAUGCAUCGGAACGUACCCAGAGGUGGGGGAUAACGCAGCGAAAGCUGUGCUAAUACCGCAUGUGAUCUGAGGAUGAAAGCGGGGGACCGAGCAGCAAUGUUUGGCCUCGCGCCUUUGGAGCGGCCGAUGUCGGAUUAGCUAGUUGGUGGGGUAAAGGCCUACCAAGGCGACGAUCCGUAGCUGGUCUGAGAGGACGACCAGCCACACUGGGACUGGGACACGGCCCAGACUCCUCCGGGAGGCAGCAGUGGGGAAUUUUGGACAAUGGGCGCAAGCCUGAUCCAGCAAUGCCGCGUGCGGGAAGAAGGCCUUCGGGUUGUAAACCGCUUUUGGCAGGAACGAAACGGUGUCCGCUAAUACCGGGCGCUAAUGACGGUACCUGCCGAAUAAGCACCGGCUAACUACGUG
rnacentral:rRNA from 1 species